GUCUUUUGGUGCCGUGCUACCCUGCAGACUACCCAAUUUGCCUGGCAGCAAAAAUAAGUAAAGUUUAAAAAAAAAUUUGCUGCUGGGUGAAUCAGGUGGUCUGCAGGGUACUGCGGCAGCAAAAGAC